GGCGGGGAGGCUGGAGUGUUUGGUUGGCUGCGGCUGAUUGCCUGCUGGUUCCUGGAAGUUUUAGGAUGCCGCCAGACCUGGCAGGAGACGCCAUGCGGUUAAUUUUUAAAUCACGUUGACUCGUUUACAUAUUUUAUUUACAACGUUGGGAGUUCUAUUUUCAUGUGCCUUAUUUGCAUUUAGUUUGAGGGCCAUUGAUGCAUCUUAACCGAUUUUGUUUUACUUUUGGUUCGCUUGCUUCUAAGUAGAGCUAAACAAGUGUUAUCCCUUUUUCUUGCACAACACUCGUACACAUACAAGCUCAAAUCGUCCUUCAUCUACUGCUGUGUUAACCCGCCUGGACCUCCGAUCGGUUUUGAGACUAACAUCUGGGUCCGGGAAUGACGUUCAGUGAUGUAACGUGGCACGCUGAACGCUACUCUUCCAGAUAACUCAGCGCAGGACCCAGAGUGACACGGAGACGAUCUGCUUGCAAUAAGGAGCUGUGUCAGUCAGUUAAAAGUCCCCGGAGCGAGAAGAAUAGGAAAAUGAAGGAGAAUAAAUAUUGAGCGUUCCAGGGUGAGAUGAGUGUCUGGGGAGGAGGUUGCUGAUUCGCAAACCAUACAUUCAGGGAGCUGCAGGAACAACAAUAAUUAGUAGAGCUACUUGAGAACCCAUAGCAUUUUUCAAUGACUGCAGUUCUCUGGGCUCAGAGAAGGCUAAGAUGGCGUCCCAUGAGGAUAAGUGCAUGAUGAACUGAGCAGACAUGUAUCACAUUGAGCUCACUGGAGUGGUCUCUGUAUAUGAAUGGUACCCGAACAAUACGCUAGUUAUCAAUGGACAUAAGACUUAGAUCAUCAUUUCGUCCUCCAGACACAGACUGCUCCACAAAGGCAAACGUUAAGAUUGGUUUACAAAUGGGCAAACAAUCCAAUCGAAUCCCAAAAAAAAGAAAACUUACUCUAUAUUGUACAGAUACUUCGCUAUUGUAUUGUAUUGAUGAAAAUGUGAUUAGAUCAUGAGUCUGUAUUACCUACUGCUGUAAUGAAAGAGGUUGCCAAGUCGCUUCCAUUAUGUCAUCUGGACUAUUGUACGGCUAUCUGGUCAUCUGCCUCAAACAAAGGGAAUAAACCACAGUACAACAGCUAACAGCGAGCUUGGCAUUUGACUACCCUGGAGAAGUUUAUAUGCACUUCACUUACAUGGUCAAAUACUGCAAAAUAUCUAGGACCUGUUUGUAUCGCAAAUUAAUUUUGCUUUUUGACAAUAUGUAAUAUAGGUUGGAAAUUGGUUCCCCCCCACGGCUUAACGAUUUUA